UCUAUUACAAGUCUAUUUUGCAAGCCCACAGAAAUAGCUGUUUGGUUUAAUGGAAUACACCAUUCCGAGCUUAUGCAGAGAAAUUUGGUGAUUCCUAUUCCCUCCCCUCUCCACUGAUGAUUGAUUCGGUGCUUGAAGAACCUUAUCUUACCCUCACCAAAUUCUCACCUCAAAAACACUCAAACGAAAGUCAUUCUUUGCUUCCUUCGACUCUAGCACACCUCCCCUUCAUCCAGUGUCCUUCAGAUAAACAUUUCUCCCUUUCGUUGUUCCUUUCGUUUUCCUUUCUACCAUUUUUUCUUACCCACAAAAUUUUUCUGCCUCUUUUUGUUACUGCUUCCUUUACCAUUUCAGUCCCUGUUGUUACUCUUCUUCCUUUCACCAUCAUCUCAGAUAUUUUUUUUAUUAAAUAAAAUCUUUGAGAUCUUGGAUCAGAAUUUUUAUCCUACCAAGCUUUCAGUUUUGAUAAUGGGUGAGUGUUUUCCUUGUUUUGGAUCAUCGAACAAGGAAGGCAGUAAUGGUGGGGGCAGUGUGAAAAAACUGAGCAAAAAGGAUUCAACUAAAGACAGCUCAGUUGGACAGCCUCAUCAUGUUAACAGAGUUAGUUCAGAUAAUUAUGUUAGGUUUUUCACAAUCAAGUGUUUCUUCCCAAAAUUCUCGAGGAACCAAAAGGAAAUGGGUUCCAGAAAAAGAUGUUGCGUUGGUUGCCUGUAUGGUUGACUUGCACAAUGUUGGAACCUUUAAUGCAUAUAUGGGAUUCAAAGCCGGUUAUUUAAAUGAGCUAGAAAAAAUGCUAGAAAAAGUUAUACCCCAUGUUAUGUUGAAGGCUAAACCUAAUCUUGAAUCGAUGAUUAGGACAUUGAAAAAGGAUUGGACAAUCGUUUAUGACAUGCUUAGUGGAAAAAAUAAUAGCGGCUUUGGUUGGGACGAGCAUAGGCAGCUUGUUAUUGCUGAAGAUGCUGUGUGGAACUCAUAUAUAAAUUCAUAAAGAAGCCGGUCAAUUCAAACAUUAUAGUUUUUCUUAUUAUGACCAACUUACUGCCAUUUACGCAAAAGAUCGAGCCACUGAAAAAGAUGCUCAAACAACCGCUGAUAUUAUUGAAGAAAUAGAUGUUGAGGAUGUAGCUACUACAAAUACUCAUGAAGAAAGAAACGAUUUCAAUGGAUGUGAAGCUGAUGUUUCUUUGGAUAACAUGGAUCUUUCAGCUACACAAUCGCAACCACCUAGAAACCAAAGUGAUUUCACAUUUUCAAAGAAGAAAAUAAAAUAUUUCUGAUGCAAGUGAUCAUAUUUCUUCUACUUCAUUUACUGAUGUUGUCACUUUAUUGGCAGAAAACAUACGGACCGUUAGCCUUGAAAUCAGUAGUAUUAUUGCCUUCGAAGUGCUAAUUCAACAAAAGUCAGAAAUGACCAUUCAAGAAAGUGCUUUAAAAUUAUAUCCAACCUUAUGUGAAGUAGACGGUUUAACUGAGGAUGAGCGCUAUCGCGCGUUGAGCAAAAUUUCAAACCAUCUAAUGUAAAUGCUUAUUUUCUUUAGUUUACCUUCUUCUGUGCGAUUGGAAUGGGUUAGAAGAUUUCUUGCUAAUCAUUAAAAAUCAUGGUUGUGUUGAUGAUAUUUUGGUAACUUUUUGUGUUUGUAAUAUUUGGAUGGUAUAAUGACAUGAUAGAAUGUCAUUAUAAUGUUGUAACUUUUUUAUGUUGUAAAAUUUAACAUAUGGAUUAUAACAUAUAAGCUAAUGAAAUCAUAUAA